GACGAACGCUGGCGGCGUGCUUAACACAUGCAAGUCGAACGGAAAGGCCCUGCGUUUGUGGGGUGCUCGAGUGGCGAACGGGUGAGUAACACGUGAGUAACCUGCCCUUGACUUUGGGAUAACUUCAGGAAACUGGGGCUAAUACCGGAUAGGAGCUCCUGCUGCAUGGUGGGGGUUGGAAAGUUUCGGCGGUCGGGGAUGGACUCGCGGCUUAUCAGCUUGUUGGUGGGGUAGUGGGUUACCAAGGCUUUGACGGGUAGCCGGCCUGAGAGGGUGACCGGCCACAUUGGGCCUGAGAUAAGGAACAGACUCCUACGGGAGGCAGCAGUGAGGAAUAUUGCACAAAGGGGGCAAGCCUGAUGCAGCAACGCCGGGUGCGGGAUGACGGCCUUCGGGUUGUAAACCGCUUUCGCCUGUGACGAAGCGUGAGUGACGGUAAUGGGUAAAGAAGAAACGGCUAACUACGUG
rnacentral:rRNA from 1 species